rnacentral:rRNA from 1 species
GAGAGAGACAUGCGCGCAUAUCAAUAAGCGGAGGAAAAGAAACUAACAAGGAUUCCCUUAGUAACGGCGAGUGAAGCGGGAAGAGCUCAAAUUUGAAAUCUUCAAGGUUCUACCUUGACGAAUUGUAGUUUAUAGAAGUGUUUUCUGUUAAGUAGAGUGGCAAAAGUUCUUUGGAAUAGGGACAUCAUAGAGGGUGAGAAUCCCGUAUUUGGUCAUUCCUCCUAGCUUUGUGAUACACUUUCAACGAGUCGGAUUGUUUGGGAAUGCAGUCCAAAAUGGGUGGUAAAUUUCAUCUAAAGCUAAAUAUUGGCGAGAGACCGAUAGCGAACAAGUACCGUGAGGGAAAGAUGAAAAGAACUUUGAAAAGAGAGUUAAACAGUACGUGAAAUUGUCAAAAGGGAAGCGUUUGACACCAGUGUUGUUUUUCCGAAAAUCAAUUACGAAUGUUUUAUUUUUGAGGAGUUAUGACUUCAUCGGCUUGCUCCUUUCUUUACUGAAACUUUCUUAAUGCACCUUUUCGGUUAACAAGUCAACAUCAAUUUCUUUUGUUGUAAAAGGGUAAGAGGAAGGUGGCUUUCUUUUCGGAGAAAGUGUUUAUAGCCUCGUGCCUCUGCAAUCGGAGAGAUUGAGGUCUGCAGCGUAGAUCCUUCGGGGUUAGAUACAGUUUGUGCUAAGUUAUAGCUUUUCAUAGACAACUUGUUGACUAUGUUUAGUCUUGUAGCUUACUCGCUGAUGCUAUUUUACCUACGCUUAGGAUGUUGAUAGUCACAGCGUGUAC